rnacentral:rRNA from 1 species
UACAGAGGAGCCAAGCGUUGUCCGGAUUGACUGGGCGUAAAGCGCACGCAGGCGGUUGCGCGCGUGGGGUGUGAAAUCUGGCCGCUUAACGGCCAGGCGCCAUCCCAUACGGCGCGACUGGAGUGAUGCAGAGGUCGAUGGAAUUGCCGGUGUAGUGGUGAAAUGCGUAGAGAUCGGGCAGGAACACCCAGGGGGAAACCAGUCGACUGGGCAUCUACUGACGCUGAGGUGCGAGAGCGUGGGGAGCGAACCGG